AUUGAACGCUGGCGGCAGGCCUAACACAUGCAAGUCGAACGGUAACAGGAAGAAGCUUGCUUCUUUGCUGACGAGUGGCGGACGGGUGAGUAAUGUCUGGGAAACUGCCUGAUGGAGGGGGAUAACUACUGGAAACGGUAGCUAUUACCGCAUAACGUCGCAAGACCAAAGAGGGGGACCUUCGGGCCUCUUGCCAUCGGAUGUGCCCAGAUGGGGUUAGCUAGUAGGUGGGGUAACGGCUCACCUAGGCGACGAUCCCUAGCUGGUCUGAGAGGAUGACCAGCCACACUGGAACUGAGACACGGUCCAGACUCCUACGGGAGGCAGCAGUGGGGAAUAUUGCACAAUGGGCGCAAGCCUGAUGCAGCCAUGCCGCGUGUAUGAAGAAGGCCUUCGGGUUGUAAAGUACUUUCAGCGGGGAGGAAGGGAGUAAAGUUAAUACCUUGGCUCAUUGACGUUACCCGCAGAAGAAGCACCGGCUAACUCCGUG
rnacentral:rRNA from 1 species